ACCCAGGGCGGUGGACAUGCCUGUACUGGGGAGGCUGAGGAAGGAGGCUCAGCGGAGCCCAGGAGUUCUGAGCUGUAGUGCGCUCUGCCCAUCAUCAGGUGUCCACACUAAGUUCUCCAUCAAUAUGGUGACCUCCAGAAAGCAGGGGCCACCAGGUUGCCUAAGGAGGGGUGAACUGGCCCAGGUUGGAAAUGGAGCAGAUCAAAACUCCCGUGCUGAUCAGUAGCGAGAUUGUGCCUGUGAAUUAGCCAUGGCACCCCAGCCUGAGUGACAUAGUGAGACCUCAUCUCU
rnacentral:SRP_RNA from 1 species